GCCCUUAUUAUUACUCCACCAAAGCCAAAAAGCCCCAUCUCAUUUCUCCACCAACGCCAAAAAGCCCUAAUAUCUCAUUUUGACCAAGAAGGCUGUGUGUGUGAUUCGUGUGAAGGCUGAGGCUGCCCGAGCGAGGUAGACGAGCUGCCUUCUGGAUCUCCGGCGACCUCGGCUCAGCUUAUUAUGGCAUCAAACGCUGCUGAAGACACUUCCCACCUUGCCAGAGGCUCAAGAAAUAGCUCGAAAACCGAGGAAGGUGUAGCACCGCUGUAUUUAGGGAUUGGAAGCUCUUUAGUUUGAUUUUGCCGCAUUGUUCAAGUCCGUGAUGUCCAAGCAGGGGUUAAGUCAAUGUUCACAAUGGAAGAUAUUGCGGUAAUGGGGAUCUGGGAGUUGUUUCCGCAUUAGAAUAAGUUCAGAUUUGAGUACUGAGCGAGAGUACUACUUUGUGCGCUUCCAUGCAUGCUUAGAGGAUCUUUUUUUCUUCUUUUCUAAAUAGGAGUCUUGAUGUAAGCAUUGCAUUUUAUUGAACCUGAGUCUUGAAGUAAACAACACAGGUGGCACUUUCUUCCCGGCUAACGCUGUGGUUACUGUUGAUUCCAAGGGGUUCUCUUUUGGUCUCCUAAAGUAGUUGCGCUUUAAUCUUUAAUUUUAUUCGUAAUUUUUGGAUUUGAAAAGGAGUGAUAAAGAUUUCACUUACGAUGACCAAAGCAUGGUGCAGGAAAUUGGGGAAACACUUUAUGCAGCCAAAUAUGGCCAGCUGGGAUCGGUUAGUCCUCCACAUUUCACUAUGUAGUGCCAUCUUUUUGUGGAAGCAAUCGAGCUAUGCACAAUAAUUGCGUGCGUGAGUACUAUGUAGUGUGUGUGGCUAUCGUCUCUUGUUAUUUCUUUUAAUGUUUGUGGUCACAGUAAACUCCCUAUUAAUGCAACCGUAAUUUUUAUGGUUU